UACGAAGGGGGCUAGCGUUGUUCGGAAUUACUGGGCGUAAAGCGCGCGUAGGCGGCUUUGUAAGUUAGAGGUGAAAGCCCGGAGCUCAACUCCGGAAUUGCCUUUAAGACUGCAUCGCUAGAAUCAUGGAGAGGUGAGUGGAAUUCCGAGUGUAGAGGUGAAAUUCGUAGAUAUUCGGAAGAACACCAGUGGCGAAGGCGACUCACUGGACAUGUAUUGACGCUGAGGUGCGAAAGCGUGGGGAGCAACAGG
rnacentral:rRNA from 1 species